AGCGAACGCUGGCGGCAGGCUUAACACAUGCAAGUCGAACGGGCAUCUUCGGAUGUCAGUGGCAGACGGGUGAGUAACACGUGGGAACGUACCCUUCGGUUCGGAAUAACUCAGGGAAACUUGAGCUAAUACCGGAUGCGCCCUUUUGGGGAAAGGUUUACUGCCGAAGGAUCGGCCCGCGUCUGAUUAGCUUGUUGGUGGGGUAACGGCCUACCAAGGCGACGAUCAGUAGCUGGUCUGAGAGGAUGAUCAGCCACACUGGGACUGAGACACGGCCCAGACUCCUACGGGAGGCAGCAGUGGGGAAUAUUGGACAAUGGGCGCAAGCCUGAUCCAGCCAUGCCGCGUGAGUGAUGAAGGCCUUAGGGUUGUAAAGCUCUUUUGUCCGGGACGAUAAUGACGGUACCGGAAGAAUAAGCCCCGGCUAACUUCGUG
rnacentral:rRNA from 1 species